UACGUAGGCAGCAAGCGUUGUUCGGAAUUACUGGGCGUAAAGAGUGCGUAGGUGGUUGGCUAAGUUUGGCGUGAAAUCUCCCGGCUCAACUGGGAGGGUGCGCCGAAAACUGGCUGGCUAGAGUGUGGGAGAGGGACGUGGAAUUCCUGGUGUAGCGGUGAAAUGCGUAGAUAUCAGGAGGAACACCUGCGGUGUAGAUGGCGUCCUGGACCAUUACUGACACUGAGGCACGAAAGAGUGGGGAGCAAACAGG
rnacentral:rRNA from 1 species